UGUAUUCACUACUGUAAGUCGCUCUGGAUAAGAGCGUCUGCUAAAUGUAAAAGU
rfam:Salmo salar isolate Sally breed double haploid chromosome ssa22, whole genome shotgun sequence.